AUACUAAAGAGUAAACUCAAAGAAAGUAGAGGAAAAGAAUGAAUUAAAGAUCUGUGCUUAUAAAUAAAAAUAAAAGUAACAGAACAAAAAGAUGAGCAU
ensembl:misc_RNA